UAGAGUUUGAUCCCUGGCUCAGAUUGAACGCUGGCGGCAGGCCUAACACAUGCAAGUCGAACGGUAACAGGAAGCAGCUUGCUUCUUUGCUGACGAGUGGCGGACGGGUGAGUAAUGUCUGGGAAACUGCCUGAUGGAGGGGGAUAACUACUGGAAACGGUAGCUAAUACCGCAUAACGUCGCAAGACCAAAGAGGGGGACCUUCGGGCCUCUUGCCAUCGGAUGUGCCCAGAUGGGAUUAGCUAGUAGGUGGGGUAACGGCUCACCUAGGCGACGAUCCCUAGCUGGUCUGAGAGGAUGACCAGCCACACUGGAACUGAGACACGGUCCAGACUCCUACGGGAGGCAGCAGUGGGGAAUAUUGCACAAUGGGCGCAAGCCUGAUGCAGCCAUGCCGCGUGUAUGAAGAAGGCCUUCGGGUUGUAAAGUACUUUCAGCGGGGAGGAAGGGAGUAAAGUUAAUACCUUUGCUCAUUGACGUUACCCGCAGAAGAAGCACCGGCUAACUCCGUGCCAGCAGCCGCGGUAAUA
rnacentral:rRNA from 1 species